CACGUAGGGGGCGAGCGUUGUCCGGAUUUAUUGGGCGUAAAGAGCUCGUAGGCGGCUUGUCGCGUCGACUGUGAAAACCCGCGGCUCAACCGCGGGCCUGCAGCCGAUACGGGCAGGCUAGAGUUCGGUAGGGGAGACUGGAAUUCCUGGUGUAGCGGUGAAAUGCGUAGAUAUCAAGAGGAACACCUGAGGUGAAGACGGGUUGCUGGGCUGACACUGACGCUGAGGCGCGAAAGCUAGGGUAGCAAACGGG
rnacentral:rRNA from 1 species